rnacentral:rRNA from 1 species
AACGAACGCUGGCGGCGUGGAUUAGGCAUGCAAGUCGAACGCGAAAGAGGGGGAAACCCCUUUAGUAGAGUGGCGAACGGGUGAGUAACGCGUGAAGAACCUGCCUUCAACAGGGGGAUAACACUCCCAACGGGGUGCUAAUACCGCAUGAGACCACGGAGCUGCAUGGCUCUGAGGUCAAAGGUGGCCUCUAUUUAUAAGCUACCGGUUGAAGAUGGCUUCGCGUCCCAUUAGCAGUUGGCGGUGUAAAGACCACCAAGGCGACGAUGGGUAGCUGGUCUGAGAGGAUGGUCAGCCACACUGGGACUGAGACACGGCCCAGACUCCUACGGGAGGCAGCAGUGGGGAAUUUUGGACAAUGGGGCAACCCUGAUCCAGCCAUGCCGCGUGAGUGAAGAAGGCCUGGUUGU